UGCCACCCUGAUAAGAACAACUGAUUUUCCUCCAAUCAGAAGAGGCUUUUGGGGUCACUGGGUCAGCGUCGCCUACUAAUGACGUCGCAACAUACGGAAGUUAAAAAAAUGGAACUGCUCUGUGUUGUCUGUCUUGUGUGCAACUUCGCUCCUGCGUUCCAAAGGGAAGCUUGCUGUAAUUUGUACAGGCAGUCCCCAACCGAGCCAAAGCUAUGCCACCUAUGAAGGUUUAUAAUUAAGUUUCAGAGAACAAGAGACUGGAGAGAAGGCAGAGUUACUACAAAGGAAGAAUCAAUAAAAUUUGUUCUGACUUCAUCCUGGUUAUUUUCCUGCCAGUCCUGCUCUACAUACCAGUUGAGUGGAAAUCUGACACCACGUGGCCCCUCACCCAUCCAUCCUAUCUCUCCUGGACCUCCGUUUCUAUUUAUUGAGCUUUGACCCCAACCAUCUGUUUCAGCCCUGCUAAAGAGGUCCCAGCUCCUUCCUGAGUCACUCUCCAAAUCAGACAUCUUCUAUUUCCUUGGUCACAAGGACAAUUUCCUCACACCAUUAAAAACAGAACACUGAAUAGAAAAGAUGUACUGUAAAGAUGUUAUUGAUUUUAUGAAUCUAUACAACAUACAGAGGUCAAGGGAACAUGUUAAACUAUGCAACAAAGAUGUAAUCAGCAAAACCCAGACUGCAUGAAACUCUACUGAAAAACAAAAAAAAUAAAAUUCCAA